rnacentral:rRNA from 1 species
UACGGAGGGUGCAAGCGUUGUUCGGACUUAUUGGGCGUAAAGCGCGUGUAGGUGGUCGUGUAAGUCAGAUGUGAAAGCCUUCUGCUUAACAGAAGAAGUGCAUUUGAAACUGCUCGGCUAGAGUACGGGAGAGGAGAGUGGAAUUCCCGGUGUAGAGGUGAAAUUCGUAGAUAUCGGGAGGAACACCAGUGGCGAAGGCGGCUCUCUGGUCCGAUACUGACGCUGAGACGCGAAAGCGUGGGGAGCAAACAGG